rnacentral:lncRNA from 1 species
UGCCAAUCCUAGGAGUACUCGUCAUUCUCUCUAUAUGUGCAAACACAUUCACCUACUGCAUUCGGAAACGAAAACUACAAAAUGGAAGAAACACAGAUCCUGAAACAGGAGAGAAUAUGUCCAUAUUCAGCGUUGAUGGCAAAUUCAAAUACCAAGAUAUCAUCGAAUCAACAAACGAAUUCGAUCCAACACACCUCAUCGGAACCGGAGGAUACAGCAAAGUCUACAGAGCAAACCUCCAAGAUACAAUCAUAGCCGUUAAACGACUACAUGACACAAUAGACGAAGAGAUAUCAAAGCCAGUUGUGAAGCAAGAGUUCCUAAACGAGGUAAAAGCAUUAACAGAGAUCCGUCACCGCAACGUUGUGAAGCUCUUCGGCUUCUGCUCCCACCGCCGCCACACAUUUCUGAUCUACGAGUACAUGGAAAAAGGAAGUUUAAACAAACUCUUAGCCAACGACGAAGAAGCUAAGCGACUCACUUGGACCAAAAGGAUCAACGUCGUGAAAGGUGUGGCUCACGCUUUAUCGUAUAUGCACCAUGACCGAAUAACACCGAUCGUUCACCGUGAUAUUAGCAGCGGAAACAUCCUUCUCGAUAACGAUUACACAGCUAAGAUCUCCGAUUUUGGUACAGCAAAACUUCUAAAGACGGAUUCAUCAAACUGGUCCGCCGUUGCUGGAACCUACGGCUACGUUGCACCAGGUAAAUCUAAAUCCCUAAAUCUGAUUUUGAGCUUAUGAAAUUUAAAUCACUAAAUUCGAAAUUGAACUUGAUUUUUCGCAACAGAGUUUGCUUACACGAUGAAGGUGACGGAGAAAUGCGAUGUGUAUAGCUUCGGGGUUUUGAUACUCGAAUUGAUAAUUGGGAAACAUCCGGGAGAUUUGGUAUCGAGUUUGU